rfam:Picea glauca, whole genome shotgun sequence.
ACAUGCCUACAACUAGUGUUAAUGCAUCGAAUCCCAUUAGAACUCCGUAGUUAAGUGCGCUCAGGCUAGAGUAGUACUGGGAUGGGUGACCACGCACGAAGUCCUACUAUUUUACAUGCC